UACGUAGGUGGCAAGCGUUUGUCCGGAAUUAUUGGGCGUAAAGCGCGCGCAGGUGGUUUCUUAAGUCUGAUGUGAAAGCCCACGGCUCAACCGUGGAGGGUCAUUGGAAACUGGGGAACUUGAGUGCAGGAGAGAAGAGUGGAAUUCCACGUGUAGCGGUGAAAUGCGUAGAUAUCAGGAGGAACACCCAUGGCGAAGGCAGCUCCCUGGCUCGACCCUGACGCUGAGGCGCGAAAGCGUGGGGAGCGAACGGG
rnacentral:rRNA from 1 species